UCUACCCUUUGGCCUGGAAUAACACGAGGAAACUUGUGCUAAUACCGGAUAAGUCUUUACGGAGAAAGCUUUAUGCACCAUUGGAUGAGCCCGCACUUGAUUAGUUUGUUGGUAGGGUAAUGGCCUACCAAGACUAUGAUCAAUAGCUGAUUUGAGAGGAUGAUCAGCCACAUUGGGACUGAGACACGGCCCAAACUCCUACGGGAGGCAGCAGUGGGGAAUCUUGCACAAUGGAGGAAACUCUGAUGCAGCGAUGCCGCGUGAGUGAAGAAGGCCUUUGGGUUGUAAAGCUCUUUCGUCGGGGAAGAAAAUGACUGU
rnacentral:rRNA from 1 species